rnacentral:rRNA from 1 species
AGCGAACGCUGGCGGCAGGCCUAACACAUGCAAGUCGAACGAACUCUUCGGAGUUAGUGGCGGACGGGUGAGUAACACGUGGGAACGUGCCUUUUGGUUCGGAAUAACUCAGGGAAACUUGUGCUAAUACCGAAUGUGCCCUUCGGGGGAAAGAUUUAUCGCCAUUAGAGCGGCCCGCGUCUGAUUAGCUAGUUGGUGAGGUAACGGCUCACCAAGGCGACGAUCAGUAGUUGGUCUGAGAGGAUGACCAGCCACACUGGGACUGAGACACGGCCCAGACUCCUACGGGAGGCAGCAGUGGGGAAUCUUGCGCAAUGGGCGAAAGCCUGACGCAGCCAUGCCGCGUGAAUGAUGAAGGUCUUAGGAUUGUAAAAUUCUUUCACCGGGGACGAUAAUGACGGUACCCGGAGAAGAAGCCCCGGCUAACUUUGUG